rnacentral:rRNA from 1 species
GACGAACGCUGGCGGCGUGCCUAAUACAUGCAAGUCGAGCGGACUGACUGGGAGCUUGCUCUUGUUCGGUCAGCGGCGGACGGGUGAGUAACACGUGGGCAACCUGCCCGCAAGACCGGGAUAACUCCGGGAAACCGGAGCUAAUACCGGAUAACACCGAAGACCGCAUGGUCUUUGGUUGAAAGGCGGCGCACGCUGCCACCUGCGGAUGGGCCCGCGGCGCAUUAGCUAGUUGGUGAGGUAACGGCUCACCAAGGCGACGAUGCGUAGGCGGCCUGGGGGGGUGAGCGGCCACACUGGGACGGAGACACGGCCCAGACUCCUACGGGAGGCAGCAGGAGGGAAUCUUCCGCAAUGGGCGAAAGCCUGACGGAGCGACGCCGCGGGAGCGAAGAAGGCCGUCGGGUCGGAAAGCUCUGUUGUGAGGGACGAAGGAGCGCCGUUUGAAGAAGGCGGCGCGGUGACGGUACCUCACGAGGAAGCCCCGGCUAACUACGUG